AUGUUCUUCAAUGCCAAGAACAAACUCGUCGUAACCGCUCCGUAUUCAUCAACCUUCUCCAUCAAGCAUACGUGCAGAAGCGAAUUGUGCAUCCUUAGCUUUUGCAACAACGUACGCGAUUCAGAAACCAAGAGAUACAAGAAGGCUCAGAAUUACGACUUUGCGGAAUUGCAGAAGAAGAGUAAAAGCGAAAAAGAUGAAAGAGAUACAAACCUGAUUAAAAAUUGA